rnacentral:lncRNA from 1 species
AGCUUCCCCGGGCUGUUUUGCUACUGGCCAAAAAGGGGCUUUGCUACCACCUUGGAUUACUGUGACAGAGAAACGAAACCUUGUGUGAAAAACGUAUCCAUCGCAUCAGAGUGGGAACCAGGAUCUUAUCCGGCUUACAAUGCUCUUGACUGUAACAUCUGCAAGGGACACACGGGAGCCCUGAAAGGCCUGGUGUCUCUACAGGGAGGAUGACUCUUCAGCCACUGUCCUUUGCUUCUGUCUCCCGGUUUACUUGCGAAUGUUUAUUGUGAUGAGUCUUGUUGAGGCCUCUAGUUUCUGCUACACCAUCAAUAUUGAACUCUUGUGGAGACUCCUCUCAGAUAUUUGGUUGUAGCCCAGAGUCAUGGAGACCCUGCAGGUAUGGUUCCGCGGGACUGACCACUUCGCAUUCUCCAGCGGCUCUCAAAUGUUAGGGCGAGCCAACUCCAAGGAUCUGGGCCUGGGUGGGUGGUAGCUGAGUUGGUGUAGUGGCAGCCGAGUGGAGUUGUGGGGCAGCUCAGCACGGCCCACGGACAUCCGUGUAGCCUUCCAUGGUAACGUGAGCCACAGACAUCACCACCGCCUCUGUCUGGAUCUGGACCACUGACCCACUCACAGCCCUCAGCAGGACUUUAAGCCUCAUCGUGGUUUCAGAUGGCUACACAAGCAUCAGCGUGGCCCCCCUGAGGCAGCAAAGCCUGAGGACAUCACCACAUCUUCAGUCAGAGGCACAGAGCUUACAUCCCCGUGGACCUCAGACUUCAUCCUGGCCUGGGGCAGCAGCAUGGACCACAGACACCAGCAUGGCCUCUGGUGACAUCAUGGACCAUGGUGGUCCUUCCAGGAGGUCCAAUCCAGACAUUGAACUUUUCCUCAUCUCAGGCCUCCAUCAUUGAACAGAGCCAGGAUGAUCCUGUGACCUGACUGGGUGGCAGGUUCGGGACCUGAGUCUGCAGCUGCACAAGCUCCAGGAUGCUGCACAGCACCCUGCACACCUUACUGCGCUAUGACGGCAGGUUAACCCUCUCUCUUCCCUAUCACCACGUCUCCAGUUCUGCCUCCCUCCAUAGAGCACACACCGCUGUUUUCUGUCUUUCCCAUCUCCCCAUCACAUAUGAUCAUCACAGUGGCCUUUUCCCCAAGGAAAUGAAUUUUUGUUUUGUUUUGUUUUGUUUUGUUUUGUUUUGUUUUGUUGGUUUUUCGAGACAGGGUUUCUCUUUAUAGCUCUGGCUGUCUUGGAGCUCACUUUGUAGACCAGGCUGGCCUCGAACUCAGAAAUCCGCCUGCCUCUGCCUCCCCAGUGCAGGGAUUAAAGGCGUGCGCCACCACACCUGGCAAGGAAAUGAAUUUUAUGGAGAAAUAAAUAAUAAAGAGAAUUCUGACGCUGGGCAGUGGUGGCACACACCUUUAAUCCCAGCAUAUGGGAGUCAGAGAGGCAGAAAGAUCUUUGAGUUUGAGGCCAGCCUAGUCUUUGGAGUGAGUUUGGGGACAGCCAGGGCUAAACAGAGAAACCCUGUCUUG